rnacentral:tRNA from 1 species
GGGGGUAUAGCUCAGCUGGGAGAGCGCAUGGUCCGCAACCAUGAGGUCAUCGGUUCGAUCCCGUUUACCUCCACCA